rnacentral:rRNA from 1 species
UACGGGAGGCAGCAGUGGGGAAUAUUGCACAAUGGGCGCAAGCCUGAUGCAGCCAUGCCGCGUGUAUGAAGAAGGGCCUUCGGGUUGUAAAGUACUUUCAGUCGUGAGGAAGGUGUUAAGGUUAAUAACCUUAGCAAUUGACGUUAGCGACAGAAGAAGCACCGGCUAACUCCGUGCCAGCAGCCGCGGUAAUACGGAGGGUGCGAGCGUUAAUCGGAAUUACUGGGCGUAAAGGGCACGCAGGCGGUUAAUUAAGUUGGAUGUGAAAUCCCCGGGCUUAACCUGGGAAUGGCAUUCAAGACUGGUUAGCUAGAGUCUUGUAGAGGGGGUAGAAUUCCAUGUGUAGCGGUGAAAUGCGUAGAGAUGUGGAGGAAUACCGGUGGCGAAGGCGGCCCCUGGGACAAAGGACUGACGCUCAUGUGCGAAAGCGUGGGGAGCAAACAGGGAUUAGAUACC